rnacentral:rRNA from 1 species
AAUCCAGAGAUGGAUUUGUGCCUUCGGGAACUGUGAGACAGGUGCUGCAUGGCUGUCGUCAGCUCGUGUUGUGAAAUGUUGGGUUAAGUCCCGCAACGAGCGCAACCCUUAUCCUUUGUUGCCAGCGAUUAGGUCGGGAACUCAAAGGAGACUGCCAGUGAUAAACUGGAGGAAGGUGGGGAUGACGUCAAGUCAUCAUGGCCCUUAUGACCAGGGCUACACACGUGCUACAAUGGCGCAUACAAAGAGAAGCGACCUCGCGAGAGCAAGCGGACCUCAUAAAGUGCGUCGUAGUCCGGAUUGGAGUCUGCAACUCGACUCCAUGAAGUCGGAAUCGCUAGUAAUCGUGGAUCAGAAUGCCACGGUGAAUACGUUCCCGGGCCUUGUACACACCGCCCGUCACACCAUGGGAGUGGGUUGCAAAAGAAGUAGGUAGCUUAACCUUCGGGAGGGCGCUUACCACUUUGUGAUUCAUGACUGGGGUGAAGUCGUAACAAGGUAACCGUAGGGGAACCUGCGGUUGGAUCACCUCCUUACCUUAAAGAAGC